rnacentral:lncRNA from 1 species
UUUAGUUUAUUUGUUUUACUUUCAACUUCACCAAACCCAAAUCCCCCUUUUACUUUCUUGUUUUAAAGUCUUUGGUUUACAUUUUUAACUUUGUUUCUUUUUGUUUUUGAGUCAGUUUAGAGGUUUUAGCAAGCCCUCAUAAUCCCCGGUUUAGAACGAUCCCUACUUACAUACUUUGCUACAAUUGUCAAAAGAGGGUUUAAUUUGUGUGCUUAUAUUAUUCGCACCAUUUACACAUCAUUCUUUUUUUAUACGACACCACCAUUUAAAAAGAUUAAAAACUAUGUCGGUUAUAAGUAACAUUGACAGUCAAUGUCAGUUAUAAGCGACAUAGACAGUUUAUGACACAUCUUGACCCAGAUUGUCCACCAGGACUCUGAAUCAAGUUGUGUUGGCCGACACCUGGAAGGUGACAAAGCCAUAAAGUGUGGUGAGGUGGAAUAUGUGAAUAAAUUUAAACCUAAAAGUGUCUAAACAUAAGAGAGCGCUGUGAGCGGGAAUGAACCCAUUUCACACGUGAUGUUAGAGCAUAAGUAAAGUACAGUAGAGUGGAUUGAAAAUCAUAC